UACAGAGGUCUCAAGCGUUGUUCGGAUUCAUUGGGCGUAAAGGGUGCGUAGGCGGCGCGGUAAGUCGGGUGUGAAAUUUCGGAGCUUAACUCCGAAACUGCAUUCGAUACUGCCGUGCUUGAGGACUGGAGAGGAGACUGGAAUUUACGGUGUAGCAGUGAAAUGCGUAGAGAUCGGAAGGAACACCAGUGGCGAAGGCGGCUACCUGGACAGUUAUUGACGCUGAGGCACGAAAGCGUGGGGAUCAAACAGG
rnacentral:rRNA from 1 species